UCGGAGUCUAAGUUAGAUGCUAUCAUGAAUGCCCUCGAUACAUUAUGGCAAAGAACUAUAGAAAUUGAAGGAGUUGUGGCAAGGCUUCAUAAUGAUAGAGCAUCUGAGAUGGCACAAUCUAGGUUGCACCAGCCUCAAACUUCUAUACUUGGAGAAGCAACUUUGCCUCAGGUUCAACAAGCACCGUUAGUUCUACAACAUAAGGAGCUUCGAGUUAGUCUUUCGGAUAAGUUUGAUGGUACGCAUUCCAAGUUUCAAGGAUUUGUCAAUCAAAUCAGGUUGAUAACAGUUUUACAGCCCGAACGCUAUCCAAGGGAAGAGUCACGUGUUAAGCUUGUUGGAACCUUACUUAUAGGGCAAGCUCUAUCAU
rnacentral:lncRNA from 1 species